GCUCCAGUGGCCUAGUGGUUAGAGUGUCCGCCUCGUAUGCGAGAGGUCGCGGGUUUAGACCCUGGCCGAGUCA